rnacentral:rRNA from 1 species
ACGCUGGCGGCGUGCCUAAUACAUGCAAGUCGAGCGGACAGAAGGGAGCUUGCUCCCGGAUGUUAGCGGCGGACGGGUGAGUAACACGUGGGUAACCUGCCUGUAAGACUGGGAUAACUCCGGGAAACCGGAGCUAAUACCGGAUAGUUCCUUGAACCGCAUGGUUCAAGGAUGAAAGACGGUUUCGGCUGUCACUUACAGAUGGACCCGCGGCGCAUUAGCUAGUUGGUGGGGUAAUGGCUCACCAAGGCGACGAUGCGUAGCCGACCUGAGAGGGUGAUCGGCCACACUGGGACUGAGACACGGCCCAGACUCCUACGGGAGGCAGCAGUAGGGAAUCUUCCGCAAUGGACGAAAGUCUGACGGAGCAACGCCGCGUGAGUGAUGAAGGUUUUCGGAUCGUAAAGCUCUGUUGUUAGGGAAGAACAAGUGCGAGAGUAACUGCUCGCACCUUGACGGUACCUAACCAGAAAGCCACGGCUAACUACGUGCCAGCAGCCGCGGUAAUACGUAGGUGGCAAGCGUUGUCCGGAAUUAUUGGGCGUAAAGGGCUCGCAGGCGGUUUCUUAAGUCUGAUGUGAAAGCCCCCGGCUCAACCGGGGAGGGU